UACGUAGGGUGCGAGCGUUAAUCGGAAUUACUGGGCGUAAAGCGUGCGCAGGCGGUUCGUUGUGUCUGAUGUGAAAGCCCCGGGCUCAACCUGGGAAUGGCAUUGGAAACUGGCGAGCUAGAGUGUGGCAGAGGGGGAUGGAAUUCCGCGUGUAGCAGUGAAAUGCGUAGAUAUGCGGAGGAACACCGAUGGCGAAGGCAGUCCCCUGGGCCUGUACUGACGCUCAUGCACGAAAGCGUGGGGAGCAAACAGG
rnacentral:rRNA from 1 species